AGCGUAGGCGGUUAGGUAAGCCCUCCGGGAAAUCUCUCGGCUUAACCGGGAAAGGUCGGAGGGGACUGCCUGGCUAGAGGACGGGAGAGGAGCGCGGAAUUCCCGGUGUAGCGGUGAAAUGCGUAGAGAUCGGGAGGAAGGCCGGUGGCGAAGGCGGCGCUCUGGAACGUUCCUGACGCUGAGGCUCGAAAGCGUGGGGAGCAAACGGGAUUAGAUACCCUGGUAGUCCACGCCCUAAACGAUGGACACUAAGUGUCGGCGGGUUACCGCCGGUGCCGCAGCUAACGCAGUAAGUGUCCCGCCUGGGGAGUACGGCCGCAAGGUUGAA
rnacentral:rRNA from 1 species